CAAAUGCUAAUACCGUAUAAUAAUUAAACCGCAUGGUUUUAGUUUAAAAGAUGGUCUUGCUAUCACUAAGAGAUGGUCCCGCGGUGUAUUAGUUAGUUGGUGAGGUAAUGGCUCACCAAGACAAUGAUACAUAGCCGAGUUGAGAGACUGACCGGCCACAAUGGGACUGAGACACGGCCCAUACUCCUACGGGAGGCAGCAGUAGGGAAUCUUCCACAAUGGACGAAAGUCUGAUGGAGCAACGCCGCGUGUGUGAUGAAGGGUUUCGGCUCGUAAAACACUGUUGUAAGAGAAGAAUGACAUUGAGAGUAACUGUUCAAUGUGUGACGGUAUCUUACCAGAAAGGAACGGCUAAAUACGUG
rnacentral:rRNA from 1 species